AAUCUGAUUGGUUGCUAUGGGCAACUGCACCACUCUUCUUCUGCACAGGUUUUGAUAAAUCUCCCCCUUUGUGAGUGAUGGAGGUUACAUAAAAUCCCUACACAAACAUUUUAAUAUAUAAUAAAUAAAGUUCCCCUUUUUAAACCAUUCUUUAACUUGUUUGACUCAUUUAUUUUAUUUGUGUGUGACAAAUAGUGUUAGCAAAACGUGGAUGACAUGUUUUUUUUUUUUUAAGUGUCCAAAGCUGCUCUCCUGCACGAUCUGCAUAAUGCGGUGCGGAGAGGGGCAACUGAUGCUGGGUGGUACAGUUGCCGAGGCAACCAUAGGACACCCACGGGACCCUAGGAGAGCGGGGAAAGCAGGUGAGAGGACCUCCAUCCACCAUUUUGAAUGAUCACCAGAUCGCCACAGAGGAUCAGAAUGCGCUGACAUAGUGAGGAGACGUCUGGGCAUCAAGUUCUGUAGAGAGAAGCUUUAGCUGGAACAAAUCCUGGCGGUUUAAUGGUGAAAAAUUGUGUGUGGAAGAAAUUGUCAUGAUGGCCCAGACCAGAUGGAGAAGAGAAGGCAACGAAGCAAAUUAGAGAAGAUGUCAGAU